UCCCCCAAGCGCCCCCCUCGGUCCCCUGUGGACCAAAGGCCCAGGCAGUCGCGGACGCAGGGGCUCCGGGAGUCCCCGCCUGCGUCCCGGCCCGGGGCUGGGAGUCCCCAUCCCGGCGCGCUCGCGCCCUCGCCCUCCUUUCCCCUUCGCUCGGCGACGGCAAGCCCAGCCGGUUUACCUUCCCGGUCCCGUCCGGACCUCGGUGCCCAGCUCCGCGGCUGCCCCGUCACCAGCACCAGCCUCUUCUGGGUCGCUCCGGGGGGUCGCCCGAAGCCGCGGAGCCUCCGCCCGCCGCGCGCCCCCACGGCCUGGGCGGUCCUGCCCCCGCCGCGCCCCCGGGCCCGGGUCUCACUAGCGCCCACCGACUUUGCACAACAGCCCCUCCGCGCCGCCAGGCUGCAGCCCGGGCUCACGGCACCCGGCCCCUUCCUCCGCAUCUUCCGCGCCUGCCCUGCUCUCCCCGGCUCCCGGCGACCCCGCGCCUCCCAGGUCGCGCCGCCGCGACCCCCCGACUCACCGCGGGCCCCGCGCCGCCGCCGGGUCUGCGCGCGCCGAGGCGGAGCCAGGGCGCCCCCCCCCCCGCGCGAGCGCCGCCCCCCGCGCCCCCCGCGCCCCCGCCCACGCCUUCUGGCCCCUCGGCCCGCCCGCGCUGCGGGGGCGGUCGGGACUCACCUCCCGGACAAGGUGACCCGGCCGGUGCGCCCCGGCGGCCGCCCGCGCGUCUCCGGAGCCAGCGAGCCUGCGGGGCGCGGGGCGGUGCGGCGCCCGCCUCUGCUCGGCUCCCGGCUCUCCCCUCCUGCGCCCCGCCCCCGCCUCCCAGCGCCGCUCCCCGCCCCGAGCUCGCCGCCGGCGCCCCCGCUGCCCCGCGCGCGCCAGAGGGGGCCGCGGAGAGCUCGCGCCGAGGCGACGGGGCGGGGCCCGGCCCUCCAGCCCCAGGCGACCGAGCGGGUGCGGGGAGACUCCCGCGGCGCGCACGGGGCUGGGGGGGGCGGGGGCCCGGCCCGGCUCGGCUCGGCUCGGCUCGCCCAGCCUGGUGACCGGCGCGCCGGCCGCGGUGGCCGCGGGCUCCGGGGGAGGGUGACAGCGAGGGCGAGGACGGCCCCGUGCGGAGGCAGCCGCCGACUUUGCCCCCGGCCGACAGGCCCCCCGGGGGUGUCACGUCCGUGGGUGGCCCGGGGCCAGGGUCUGGGACUGUGCGGGCUACAGAGACUGGGGGUGGGAGGAGCCCCUGGGUACUCCGAGGACGAGGUAGCAGCCUGGCUCCGAGAGGAGAUGAUUCCCCUCGGUCCUAAAGGCCUCCCCAAGGCUCCUGCAAGGUUUUGA
rnacentral:lncRNA from 1 species